GUGUUUGCGGGUGUGGCAUCAUCAAGAUUCACAUCCACGCAUAUAUCAAAGAAGCACAGAUAUAGAUUUUCACAUCCGAUUUGGCUGAGAAUCUUGAUGAUGCUGCAUCCGCAGACAA
rnacentral:pre_miRNA from 1 species